GCUCUUGCCUCUCUUUCCAUUUCUGCCACUGAUCCUCCAUCUCACACACUUACCAACAGGUCAUAAAUGGCAGCAGAAACUCUUAAGUGCAAGUGAAGUGGUUGAAUACAGUCGUUCACUAUAUGCAGAUGAUCCAAAAUACAAAACACGUCACGAACAAGCUAUCAAGCUGAAGAGGAAACAAGGAAAACAACGCAUUUUUACAUACAUUCAACAAGAUCAUUUUCACUAUCAG